rnacentral:rRNA from 1 species
AGCGAACGCUGGCGGCAGGCUUAACACAUGCAAGUCGAGCGGGCAUCUUCGGGUGUCAGCGGCGGACGGGUGAGUAACGCGUGGGAACGUGCCUUCUGGUUCGGAAUAACUCAGGGAAACUUGAGCUAAUACCGGAUACGCCCUUUUGGGGAAAGGUUUACUGCCGGAAGAUCGGCCCGCGUCUGAUUAGCUAGUUGGUGGGGUAACGGCCUACCAAGGCGACGAUCAGUAGCUGGUCUGAGAGGAUGAUCAGCCACACUGGGACUGAGACACGGCCCAGACUCCUACGGGAGGCAGCAGUGGGGAAUAUUGGACAAUGGGGGCAACCCUAAUCCAGCCAUGCCGCGUGAGUGAUGAAGGCCUUAGGGUUGUAAAGCGCUUUUAUCCGGGACGAUAAUGACGGUACCGGAGGAAUAAGCCCCGGCUAACUUCGUGCCAGCCGCCGCAGUAA